GGCGGGGUAGCUCAGGUGGUUAGAGCAGCGGAAUCAUAAUCCGCGUGUCGGGGGUUCAAGUCCCUCCCUCGCUACCA
rnacentral:tRNA from 1 species